GAUGAACGCUGGCGGCGUGCCUAACACAUGCAAGUCGAACGAAGCAACCGGGGCUUGCUCUGGUUGACUUAGUGGCGGACGGGUGAGUAACGCGUGGGUAACCUGCCUCAUACAGGGGGAUAACAACUGGAAACGGUUGAUAAUACCGCAUAAGCGCACAGCAUCGCAUGAUGCAGUGUGAAAAACUCCGGUGGUAUGAGAUGGACCCGCGUCUGAUUAGCCAGUUGGCGGGGUAACGGCCCACCAAAGCGACGAUCAGUAGCCGGCCUGAGAGGGUGAACGGCCACAUUGGGACUGAGACACGGCCCAAACUCC
rnacentral:rRNA from 1 species